rnacentral:rRNA from 1 species
GACAGAGGGUGCUAGCGUUGUUCGGAAUUACUGGGCGUAAAGGGCGCGUAGGCGGCUCGUUUAGUCGGGUGUGAAAUCCCGGGGCUCAACCCCGGAACUGCAUUCGAUACUGGCGGGCUAGAGACCGGAAGAGGUGGGUGGAAUACCCAGUGUAGAGGUGAAAUGCGCAGAUAUCAGGAGGAACACCGGUGGCGAAGGCGGGUCUCUGGGCCGAUACUGACGCUGAGGAGCGAAAGCGUGGGGAGCGAACAGG